UGCCUGAACUCCUGCCUGUGCUCAGGGCAGCAAAAGCAGGCUGUUGCCAGUCAGGGAGCGGAGCCCUGUUCCCGCAGGAGGCUCUGGUGAGCCCCUUCCCACUGUGCACGCAGCACUUCUCCUGCCUGCCUGCUCACUCACCCUCAGCGAGGACCUGGAGCUCCUGUAUUUGCAUUGCUUGAAGGUUUUCAUGACCAGAGAAAUCCUGAAUGCUCUAAACAAGCCACUGAGCAACCUAUUUUUGAAUGAAAUUUGGAGACACCAAAGGGUAAGGCACUUAGAGGAAAGA